rnacentral:tRNA from 1 species
AAGACACUAGUAAAACGUGUAAUUACACUGCCUUGUCGAGGCAGAA